rnacentral:rRNA from 1 species
AACGCUAGCUACAGGCUUAACACAUGCAAGUCGAGGGGAAACGACAUCGAAAGCUUGCUUUUGAUGGGCGUCGACCGGCGCACGGGUGAGUAACGCGUAUCCAACCUGCCCACCACUUGGGGAUAACCUUGCGAAAGUAAGACUAAUACCCAAUGAUAUCCCACGAAGGCAUCCGAAUGGGAUUAAAGAUUUAUCGGUGAUGGAUGGGGAUGCGUCUGAUUAGCUUGUUGGCGGGGUAACGGCCCACCAAGGCGACGAUCGGUAGGGGUUCUGAGAGGAAGGUCCCCCACAUUGGAACUGAGACACGGUCCAAACUCCUACGGGAGGCAGCAGUGAGGAAUAUUGGUCAAUGGACGCAAGUCUGAACCAGCCAAGUAGCGUGCAGGAUGACGGCCCUAUGGGUUGUAAACUGCUUUUAUGCGGGGAUAAAGUGUGCCAUGUAUGGCAUUUUGUAGGUACCGCAUGAAUAAGGACCGGCUAAUUCCGUGCCAGCAGCCGCGGUAAUACGGAAGGUCCGGGCGUUAUCCGGAUUUAUUGGGUUUAAAGGGAGCGUAGGCCGGAGAUUAAGCGUGUUGUGAAAUGUAGACGCUCAACGUCUGCACUGCAGCGCGAACUGGUUUCCUUGAGUACGCACAAAGUGGGCGGAAUUCGUGGUGUAGCGGUGAAAUGCUUAGAUAUCACGAAGAACUCCGAUUG